rnacentral:rRNA from 1 species
UACGUAGGGACCGAGCGUUGUCCGGAUUCAUUGGGCGUAAAGAGCUCGUAGGCGGCUGCUCAAGUCGAAUGUGAAAACUCGAGGCUCAACCUCGAGCCUGCAUUCGAUACUGGGCGGCUAGAGUCUGGUAGGGGGAUCUGGAAUUCCUGGUGUAGCGGUGGAAUGCGCAGAUAUCUGGAGGAAUACCGGUGGCGAAGGCGGCAUCCUGGACCAUUACUGACGCUGAGGCGCGAAAGCUAGGGGAGCAAACGGG